AUACGUAGGGGGCAAGCGUUGUCCGGAAUUAUUGGGCGUAAAGCGCGCGCAGGCGGCCAUUUAAGUCUGGUGUUUAAUCCCGGGGCUCAACUCCGGGUCGCACUGGAAACUGGGUGGCUUGAGUGCAGAAGAGGAGAGUGGAAUUCCACGUGUAGCGGUGAAAUGCGUAGAGAUGUGGAGGAACACCAGUGGCGAAGGCGACUCUCUGGGCUGUAACUGACGCUGAGGCGCGAAAGCGUGGGUAGCAAACAGGAUUAGAUACCCUGGUAGUCCACGCCGUAAACGAUGAAUGCUAGGUGUUAGGGGUUUCGAUACCCUUGGUGCCGAAGUAAACACAUUAAGCAUUCCGCCUGGGGAGUACGGUCGCAAGACUGAA
rnacentral:rRNA from 1 species